rnacentral:rRNA from 1 species
GACGAACGCUGGCGGCGUGCUUAACACAUGCAAGUCGAACGGAAAGGCGCUGCUUUUGUGGGGUGCUCGAGUGGCGAACGGGUGAGUAACACGUGAGUAACCUGCCCUUGACUGUGGGAUAACUUCAGGAAACUGGGGCUAAUACCGGAUAGGAUCUCCUGCUGCACGGGGGGGGUUGGAAAGUUUCGGCGGUUGGGGAUGGACUCGCGGCUUAUCAGCUUGUUGGUGGGGUAGUGGCGUACCAAGGCUUUGACGGGUAGCCGGCCUGAGAGGGUGAACGGCCACAUUGGGACUGCGAUACGGCCCAGACUCCUACGGGAGGCAGCAGUGGGGAAUAUUGCGCAAUGGGCCGAAGUCUGAUGCAGCAACGCCGCGUGCGGGAUGACGGCCUUCGGGUUGUAAACCGCUUUCGACUGUGCCGAAGCGUGAGUGACGGUAAUGGGUAAAGAAGCACCGGCUAACUACGUG